AGCGAACGCUGGCGGCAGGCCUAACACAUGCAAGUCGAACGAACCUUUCGGGGUUAGUGGCGGACGCGUGAGUAACACGUGGGAACGUGCCUUUAGGUUCGGAAUAACUCAUGGAAACUUGUGCUAAUACCGAAUGUGCCCUUCGGGGGAAAGAUUAAUCGCCUUUAGAGCGGCCCGCGUCUGAUUAGCUAGUUGGUUGAGGUAAUGGCUCACCAAGGCGACGAUCAGUAGCUGGUCUGAGAGGAUGAUCAGCCACAUUGGGACUGAGACACGGCGCAAACUCCUACGGGAGGCAGCAGUGGGGAAUCUUGCGCAAUGGGCGAAAGGCUGACGCAGCCAUGCCGCGUGAAUGAUGAAGGUCUUAGGAUUGUAAAAUUCUUUCACCGGGGACGAUAAUGACGGUACCCGGAGAAGAAGCCCCGGCUAACUUCGUG
rnacentral:rRNA from 1 species